UGCCCAUCUUGUACCUAGUCUGCUCCCCAAAGGCUCAUGGUGGGCAGAGAGAAACCUACCACUGAAGAUCCUUUUCCUCUAACGAUCUUCAGCAGUGGGCUACUGUUUGUUCCUCCUCCCUCGCACUGACCAGCCAUUUUUAGACUGUGGCUUCUUUACAUAUCCAUUUUGGAAUCAACCCAGACAUCAACACCUCUUCUGAUUUCAGCAAGCGACUGAGAUUAGUUCUUAAGAACAUAUGAAUCAGACCAAAAGUUCAUCCACCUCAGCAUCCUAUUCUCACAGUGUCCUUUUAUGUGUUGCUGUCCAGCCGGUCAUAGCUGUGAACCAAUGCCUGGCCGGCCAGCAAGGAACUCCCCCACAACCUGGGCCCUGAUUGGCCCGUUUGAACCUGGCACACCGGCCAGGAAGUCACGCCUCCCCAUGGCUGCAGCACCUGAGGGGAAUUCCCCAUUGGCCAGCGGCCAUGAGAGUCCAGCUGUCAGGAAGGAGGUGGAGAGCAAGGGUCCACAACUGAGGGUCCACCACCAGUAAAGCGAAAGCAGCCGUGGGAAUCUUCAGGUUUGGGCAUGGUACAUGGUCACCAUAUCUCUCCUCCCCAAUGGAAAAACAACUGGGGAAUGGAAAGAAAAAUGUUAAAUGACACAUCCCCCCCCACUGGAUCCUCUACUCAACCUGAAUCUACCCAGGGACCUGGAUAGGAUCAGGCACACCAAAGAGCUGAAGCUUAAAGGCUGAAAAAUCUUGCACUCCAUCCUUCUAUGCCACCAGAGCAAUCCCCACUGGAAAGGCUGCGGCAUGAGAAGGAGCUGAUGAAUGACGGCUUGGGGAUGAUACAGCGACGACACCGCAACCGUAACCCUUCAGUGGCUGGUGAUACUAUUGGUUCAUCAUGCAUCAGGAAACGAUUAUCUGCUGAACUGACUGCUACUGAGUUCAAACCAGUUUAGAAGUUUGCAUUUGUGGCCCCAAAGUUCCAAGCCUGGAUCCACAUUGGACUCGCCACCCAAGCUGCCGAUGCCUGAAUUGUAGCUGAACCUUUGUGAACUCAUCCUGGGGCUGCUUUAGAUGUCUGGGUCAAUGCAGACAGCCUUGCUCAUAUUCUUUGCCUCCAUCGAACAGAGCAAAUAAAAAACAUUCAGUUAUGAAAAAAAAUAAUGCAAUCCAUGAAGCCUACAUUCUUAUCUUUGAGUUGCCUGAUUUAUUCUACCAACAUAACUCAGGUCUGCAAAUAACUCCAUGAGAGAGUCAGAGGCGAAUGGAGGGAGGGAGAAAAUCCAGAGAGGUUUUCCAGACUCACCCAGCCUUUCUAACACAGUGCUUGUUAAGUUUAAAAAACCCCAAUUUUUAAUUUUUACAGGAUAGCAACUUCUGUACAUGAGCCUGCAAUUCUGUAGCAAACACAUGGCUAUGCAACAGAGCCCUGGAAACGGAUGAUGAAGAAGAAAAAUGUGCGAAUGUAGCAAAAUAUUAAGAGGAGACGAAAGCACAAAAGAUUGAUCGCAACUUGGUUUUCGUUAAACACAAUCAGCUCGGCUUGAGUUUUGUUUUGCUUUCAAUCGUUUUGUUUGUCACUUGGCUUUGACACCAUAAGAGGCUUGGAUUGGA